UGGGGAAUCUUAGACAAUGGGGGCAACCCUGAUCUAGCCAUGCCGCGUGAGUGAUGAAGGCCCUAGGGUUGUAAAGCUCUUUCAGCUGGGAAGAUAAUGACGGUACCAGCAGAAGAAGCCCCGGCUAACUCCGUGCCAGCAGCCGCGGUAAUACGGAGGGGGCUAGCGUUGUUCGGAAUUACUGGGCGUAAAGCGCACGUAGGCGGACUGGAAAGUUGGGGGUGAAAUCCCGGGGCUCAACCCCGGAACUGCCUUCAAAACUAUCAGUCUGGAGUUCGAGAGAGGUGAGUGGAAUUCCGAGUGUAGAGGUGAAAUUCGUAGAUAUUCGGAGGAACACCAGUGGCGAAGGCGGCUCACUGGCUCGAUACUGACGCUGAGGUGCGAAAGCGUGGGGAGCAAACAGG
rnacentral:rRNA from 1 species